CUAAAACACCCUACUUUUCUUCCCCCGGCUAAUCUGCAGUGCCUGGAAAACCCAGGCUCUGCUUCAAAGCUUCAGCAUCAAGGGUCCAGCCAAUGGGAGAAAGUUGCUGAGCAGAGGAGAAUGCUCUUGGCCAAUGAGUAGAGAAUGCCUUAUAAUUGGGGGAUGCCCAUAUAUUUAUAUUUAUUGGGCAAGUGUUUUGAAAGACCUUGUUCUGAAAAGUUCGUGUACCAUUAUAUUUGAGCCUCCCAUAUCCCUUUUUUAAAAAUUGAUAUAAAAUUAAUGUAGCAUAGAAUUAACAGUAUUUAGUGUACAAUUUAGUGGCUUUCAGCUCAUUCAUAAAAUUGUGCAAUCAUUAUCACUAACCCUAUUCCAGAAUAUUUUUAUCACCCUCAAAAGAAGCUCCAUACACACUGGUAUGGUUUAGAUCUGUGUCCUGCAAAAAUCACUUGUCAAAUAAUAAUCUCCACUGUUGGAGGUGGGGCCUAGUGGGAGGUGAUUUUAUCAUAGGGGUGAUUUCUCAUGGUUUAAUACCAUCCUCCUUGAUGCUGUCAUGGCAAUAAUGAAUUCACCUGAUAUCUGGUUGUUCAAAAGUGUGUGGCACCUCCCUCCUCCCUCUCUUUCUCCUGCUCUGGCCAUAUGAAGUGCUUUCUCCCCCUUUGCCUUCUACCAUGACUGGAAGUGUCCUGAGGCCUCCCCAGAAGCAGAAGCUGCUAUGUAUGCUUUCUGUACAGUCUGUGGAACUGUAAGAUGAAGUAAACACAGGGCAGCCUCUCUCUCCCACUGACGAUACAAUCGAUAGAGGGCAUGGUGCAGCUAUUUGAAUGAUCCAAACAGUAAAUACCAGCAAGUGGAUGGGUGAAAACAACCAGGAUUCGAAGUACCACAAAGCUGGUGAUAAGAAAACUGAGACACAGAAAAGUCACACAAGAUUAUCCAGGUCAACACAGAGAACAGUGGAACCGGCACCUGACCCCAAGCAGGCGGAGACUUCGUGACCACACCACACUGCCACAGGGAACAGGCAGGGAAAACAAUGGGGCUAGCAGGACAAAAAUGACAUUUCCCAGAGUUUCUUGCUGCCUGGAUCUGGCUGCAGUUUCAGUUUUGCCAACAAGAGGCAUUUCCAUGAGCUCUGGACAGUGGCAGGGAGGCAGAGGCGCUCCUCUGCAGUGUGGUGGACGGUCCGCGGGCUCCUGCCAACGUGAGGAUCUGCAGCAACUGGUAUAUCCAUGGUCUUGUCACCAGCUUCCUGAAUGCGGGGCAGCUGGAGCCACACUAGUGGUCCUUGCAGGGGCAGCAGCUGUCUCCUGGUCUCAGGCUCACAGCUGUGGGGAUGUGACCUUAAGCCAAAAGCCUAGCAGUGGUCCUGACCUUCAUUUGUCUAGGCCCUCUGAUCACUCUAUAAGUCGCUAUUUCCCUUAUUAAAUCUCUUUCUGCUGGAUA